ensembl:misc_RNA Metazoa_SRP Metazoan signal recognition particle RNA
UGCACCAUGCCCAUUGGGUGUCCAAACUAAGUUUGGCAUCAGUAUGGUGACCUCCUGAGAAUGGGGAACCACCAGGUUGGCCUAAGGAGGAGUGAACAGGCUCAGGUCAGAAAUGGAGCAGAUCAGAACUCCCAUGCUGAUCAGUAGUGGGAUCAUACCUGUGAAUAGCCA